CUGUGCUAACCACCCAAGCCUUGGAAGGUCUUCGGACUGACUGAGGGGAGCGUGGGAACCUGGUGGGUAGUAGUCAAGCGAUGGGGUGACGCAGGAAGGUAGCUGAUCCCGGCCGGUGGUUGUGCCGGGGUAAGCGUGUAGGGCGGUGUGUAGGCAAAUCCGCACACCAUGAAGGCUGAGACGUGAUGCCGAGCCGAUUCAGGUGAAGUCAGUGAUCCUAUGCUGCCGAGAAAAGCCUCUAGCGAGUUCUUAGCGGCCCGUACCCCAAACCGACACAGGUGGUCAGGUAGAGAAUACCAAGGCGACGGGCGAACUGUGGUUAAGGAACUCGGCAAAUUACCCCCGUAACUUCGGGAGAAGGGGGGCCGGACACGUGAAGCAACACGCUUGUGGAGCGUGGUAUGGCCGCAGAGACCAGGGGGAAGCGACUGUUUACCAAAAACACAGGUCCAUGCGAAGAAGUAAUUCGAUGUAUAUGGACUGACGCCUGCCCGGUGCUGGAACGUUAAGGGGACCUGUUAGCUCUUCGGGGCGAGGCGGAGAACUUAAGCGCCAGUAAACGGCGGUGGUAACUAUAACCAUCCUAAGGUAGCGAAAUUCCUUGUCGGGUAAGUUCCGACCUGCACGAAUGGCGUAACGACUUCCCUACUGUCUCAACCACAGGCCCGGCGAAAUUGCAGUACGAGUAAAGAUGCUCGUUACGCGCGGCAGGACGGAAAGACCCCGGGACCUUUACUAUAGCUUGACAUUGGUAUCUGAGUUAAUUUGUGUAGGAUAGGUGGGAGCCUGUGAAGCUCGUACGCCAGUACGGGUGGAGGCAAUCUUGAAAUACCACUCUGGUUGAUUCGGGUAUCUAACUUCGGACCGUGAUCCGGUUCAGGGACAGUGUCUGGUGGGUAGUUUAACUGGGGCGGUUGCCUCCUAAAGAGUAACGGAGGCGCCCAAAGGUUCCCUCAGCCUGGUUGGCAAUCAGGUGCUGAGUGUAAGUGCACAAGGGAGCUUGACUGUGAGACUGACAGGUCGAGCAGGGACGAAAGUCGGGACUAGUGAUCCGGCACCGGCAUGUGGAAGCGGUGUCGUUCAACGGAUAAAAGGUACCCCGGGGAUAACAGGCUGAUCUUCCCCAAGAGUCCAUAUCGACGGGAUGGUUUGGCACCUCGAUGUCGGCUCGUCGCAUCCUGGGGCUGUAGCAGGUCCCAAGGGUUGGGCUGUUCGCCCAUUAAAGCGGUACGCGAGCUGGGUUUAGAACGUCGUGAGACAGUUCGGUCCCUAUCCGCCGUGCGCGUAGGAUACUUGAGAAGGGCUGUCCCUACUACGAGAGGACCGGGACGGACGAACCUCUGGUGUGCCAGUUGUCCCGCCAGGGGCACGGCUGGUUAGCUACGUUCGGAAGGGAUAACCGCUGAAAGCAUCUAAGCGGGAAGCUCGCUUCAAGAUGAGGUAUCCCACCCACACUUGUGUGGGGUAAGGCCCCCAGCUAGACCACUGGGUUGAUAGGCAGGAAAUGUAAGCCCGGUAACGGGUUCAGUUGACCUGUACUAAUAGGCCGAGGACUUGACCUU
rnacentral:rRNA from 1 species